CCCUUAGACGUUCUGGGCCGCACGCGCGCUACACUGACCAGUGCAACAAGCAUCCGUCCUUGGCCGACAGGCUCGGGCAAUCUUUGAACGCUGGUCGUGAUGGGGAUAGACUUUUGCAAUUUUUGGUCUUCAACGAGGAAUUCCUAGUAAACGCAAGUCAUCAACUUGCAUUGAUUACGUCCCUGCCCUUUGUACACACCGCCCGUCGCACCUACCGAUUGAAUGGUCCGGUGAAGCCUCCGGAUUGGCGCGCACCUCGGUGCCGCCGAGAAGUUGGCUAAACCUUACCAUUUAGAGGAAAGAGAAGUCGUAACA
rnacentral:rRNA from 1 species